GGGCCGGUUGUCUAGCUCGGUUAGGAUGUCAGGGUAACACCCGUCAGGCCCUUACACGGCGAAGCGCCAGCGCGCGCCAAGGUCGGCGGUUCAAAUCCGCCCCGGCCCA
rnacentral:tRNA from 1 species